rnacentral:lncRNA from 1 species
CCCUUUUGGAAUGGGACAGCAGAGGGGGCUGUGUUUCAUCUCAGCGAUCAACUGGUUGACCUAUAUGUGAGGGCAAGAUUUUACACUCCUUUGAGGUGAGACAGACCAACAGAUACCUGUAAACCAAUGAGUUCCUUUCAGCACCCUGGGAAUUGCAAGCAGAUGAACAUCGGUCCCUGCCCUCAAGAAAGCAUGCAAUGAUUUUGUGGCAUGGCAGAGAGCAACGGGGAUCCUAAGUGUUCAACUCUCUAGAGAGAGUGCUUAUCACAUCAGCUCCACCUGUGAUGGGAUAUUACACAUAGAUAAUUAAUAAAAUAAAAAGGUUAUAUUUUUACUUUGGCCAACACU